UCGAACGGACUCAUAUUGAAACCUAGUGAUGUAUGAGUUAGUGGCGGACGGGUGCGUAACGCGUGGAGAACCUGCCGUAUACUGGGGGAUAACACUUAGAAAUAGGUGCUAAUACCGCAUAAGCGCACAGCUUCGCAUGAAGCAGUGUGGAAAACAAAAAGCUAAAGCUUUUGGUGGUAUACGAUGGAUCCGCGUCUGAUUAGCUGGUUGGCGGGGUAAAGGCCCACCAAGGCGACGAUCAGUAGCCGGCCUGAGAGGGUGAACGGCCACAUUGGGACUGAGACACGGCCCAAACUCCUACGGGAGGCAGCAGUGGGGAAUAUUGCACAAUGGGGGAAACCCUGAUGCAGCGACGCCGCGUGAGUGAAGAAGUAUUUCGGUAUGUAAAGCUCUAUCAGCAGGGAAGAAAAUGACGGUACCUGACUAAGAAGCCCCGGCUAACUACGUGCCAGCAGCCGCGGUAAUACGUAGGGGGCAAGCGUUAUCCGGAUUUACUGGGUGUAAAGGGAGCGUAGACGGCAGCGCAAGUCUGGAGUGAAAUCCCAUGGCUUAACCAUGGAACUGCUUUGGAAACUGUGCAGCUAGAGUGCAGGAGAGGUAAGCGGAAUUCCUAGUGUAGCGGUGAAAUGCGUAGAUAUUAGGAGGAACACCAGUGGCGAAGGCGGCUUACUGGACUGUAACUGACGUUGAGGCUCGAAAGCGUGGGGAGCAAACAGGAUUAGAUACCCUGGUAGUCCACGCUGUAAACGAUGAUUACUAGGUG
rnacentral:rRNA from 1 species